AUUGAACGCUGGCGGCAUGCCUUACACAUGCAAGUCGAACGGCAGCAUGGAGAGCUUGCUCUCUGAUGGCGAGUGGCGAACGGGUGAGUAAUGCAUCGGAACGUACCGUGUAAUGGGGGAUAACGUAGCGAAAGUUACGCUAAUACCGCAUACGACCUGAGGGUGAAAGCAGGGGAUCGCAAGACCUUGCGUUAUACGAGCGGCCGAUGUCAGAUUAGCUAGUUGGUGAGGUAAAGGCUCACCAAGGCGACGAUCUGUAGCGGGUCUGAGAGGAUGAUCCGCCUCACUGUGACUGAGACACGGCCCAGACGCCUACGGGAGGCAGCAGUGGGGAAUUUUGGACAAUGGGGGCAACCCUGAUCCAGCCAUGCCGCGUGAGUGAAGAAGGCCUUCGGGUUGUAAAGCUCUUUCGGCCGGGAAGAAAUCGCACAGGCUAAUACUCUGUGUGGAUGACGGUGCCGGCAUAAGAAGCACCGGCUAACUACGUGCCAGCCGCCGCGGUAA
rnacentral:rRNA from 1 species